GAUGCCUGCAACAGAGGCAAAAGCCGUCCCUGCAACUGUUGGUCUAUAAAUGCCCCAGGACGGUUGAGAAUUCUCUAGAGGAAGGAGAGAGGUUUCGGCAUUUUGGACAACCGCAGCAGAGGAACAGGUGAGUAGCCUUUGCGGCUGGGUCUCCUUGGUUCUGCCAGUAAUUGCAGCUCCUUUGACAAGAUGAAACCCAAACGGUGCUACCUUUGAAAUGUAGACGCCUAUUCUCAUUUGCUCUUGAUGGAUGCAUAUAUUAAAUUAUCUGAGGUAUUGCUGGUUAACUUUACAGAAAUGCCAGGAACCUCUUGCCAAAUUCAACUCUGUGUAUUAUUUUUGUUUUUUUGUAAAAAAGGAAAAAAAGAAAAUUGAGGGUCAAUGCAGCUUUGAUAAGCAGGGAGAAAGAAAUCUAUGAAUAUGAGUGGGGAGAAGGGAAAAGAAAUUCCGGUAGGAUUCCUGCAUUUGUAGGGGGUUGGACUAGAUGACCCUCAAGGUCCCUUCCAAGGUUCUGUGAUUCUAAUAACUGGCUGGGUCAGGCUGGUGGCCCACCUGUUCAAGCAUCCUGUUCUCACAGAAUUAGAAGAAAAUGUUCUCUCUCCACAGGUGCAGAUGGGGCCGUUCUCUCCCUUCAACCUCUCCCUUGUGGUUUUCCUGGCUUUCAUUUCCCUACAAGGUAUGACUAAGUUGGGCUCAUCAAACCCUGGUUGAGACGAGCCAAGUAAAGUCUUCUCCAAAGCCAAGUGGGCUUGGCACCCAGCCACCCCAGGGGGCGCUUCCUCUUCAAUGGACAACCACUUGCUCCACCCUCAUUGCCACUUCCCCCCAGGUCAGCCUUUGCCAACCUGGUGCCCCCCAACUGCUUGGACUACAACUCCCAGCAGCCUCAGCACCACACAGCUGGGCUGUGUUUUAGCCCAACGCAUCUGGCAGGCACAAGGCUGCUCUAGGGUUUCCUUCAGCUUCUCGGUCUUUAUUAGGCUUGCAUUGCCAUCCUCCUUCCCUCCCUCUUAAGACCUCACCCACCCUCGACAGGGCCCUGAUCCUGCUCCUUCCUUCCUUACAAGCCAGCUGUGGCCCCACCCCUGGUUUUCUUUGUUCCACGGAGCGUCCACUAAGGCUGCGAACAGCUGGACUGCUGUGGCGUCCAGUCCGCUUCCCUUAAUAACAACAACAACAACAACAACAAUUUAUUAUUUAUACCCCGCCCAUCUGGCUGCCCCCCCCCAGCCACUCUGGGUGGCCUCCAACAAAACAUUAAAAUACCGUAAUACAUCAAACAUUAAAAGCUUCCUUAAACAGGGCUGCCUUCAGAUGUCUUCUAAAAGUCUGGUAGUUGUUGUUCUCUUUGACAUCUGGUGGGAGGGCGUUCCACAGGGCGGGUGCCACCACCUAGAAGGCCCCCUGCCUGGUUCCCUGUAACCUGGCUUGUCGCAGUGAGGGAACCACCAGAAGGCCCUCGUCACUGGACCUCAGUGUCCAGGCAGAACGAUGGGGAUGGAGACGUUCCUUCAGAUAUACUGAACCGAGGCCAUUUAGGGCUUUAAAGGUCAGCACCAACACUUUGAAUUGUGCUCAGAAACGUACUGGGAGCCAAUGUAGGUCUUUCAAGACCGGUGUUAUGUGGUCUCGGCGGCCGCUCCCAGUCACCAGUCUGGCUGCCACGUUCUGGAUUAGUUGUAGUUUCCGGGUCACCUUCAAAGGUAGCCCCAUGCAGAGCGCAUUGCAGUAGUCCAAGCGGGAGAUAACCAGAGCAUGCACCACUCUGGCUAGGCAGUCUGUGGGCAGGGAGGGUCCCAUCCUGCAUACCAGAUGGAGCUGGUGAACAGCUGCCCUGAACACAGAAUUCACCUGCGCCUCCAUGGACAGCUGUGAGUCCCUGUGCCAACCUGCUUCUCCCGGCUACAGCAGACUUAUUUGCGCAGAGCUGACUGUGUGGAAGGAAUCUCAGCCAUGCAGUAAAACUCUUGUACAACAGCUCCUUCUAUUCUACGAAGCAUUUAUUGUACAACAGCAAAACAACAAAUCAGCCAGAAGAUAGCAAAGGCAUGAUGCUUCUCUUGUCGCAGCAAAACAGAAAGUAAAAAUGUUCACAUAAGAAAGAUGCGAACACACCCCAGUGACAGGACGCCAUUUCCCUAGAGCUAUUAACCCAGUAAGCUCUGGGUAUCCUCACACACCCCUCUCGUCCUGUACCACUGGGGAAGAGUGCAAGUAAUAAUAAUAAUAAUAAUAAUAAUAAUAAUUUAUUAUUUAUACCCCGCCCAUCUGGCUGGGCUUCCCUGGCCACUCUGGGCGGCUUCCAAAAGAAUAUUAAAAUACUAUAAUACAUCAAACAUUAAAAGCUUCCCGAAACAGGGCUGCCUUCAGAUGUCUUCUAAAAGCCUGGUACUUGUUGUUCUCUUUGACAUCUGGUGGGAGGGUGUUCCACAGGGAAGGCGCCACUACCGAGAAGGCCCUCUGCCUGGUUCCCUGUAACUUGGCUUCUCGCAGUGAGGGAACUGCCAGAAGGCCCUCGGCGCUGGACCUCAGUGUCCGGGUAGAACGAUGGGGGUGGAGACGCUCCUUCAGGUAUAGUGGACCAAGGCCGUUUAGGGCUUUAAAGAUCAGCACCAACACUUUGAAUUGUGCUCGGAAACGUACUGGGAGCCAAUGUAGGUCUUUCAAGACCGGUGUUAUGUGGUCUCUGCGGCCGCUCCCAGUCACCAGUCUAGCCGCCGCGUUCUGGAUUAGUUGUAGUUUCCGGGUCACCUUCAAAGGUAGCCCCACGUAGAGCGCAUUGCAGUAAUCCAAGCGGGAGAUAACCAGAGCAUGCACCACUCUGGCGAGGCAGUCCGCAGGCAGAUAGGGUCUCAGCCUGCGUACCAGAUGGAGCUGGUAAACAGCUGCCCUGGACACAGAUUUGACCUGUGCCUCCAUGGACAGCUGUGAGUCCAAAAUGACUCCCAGGCUGCGCACCUGGUCCUUCAGGGGCACAGUUACCCCAUUCAGGACCAGGGAAUCCUCCACACCUGCCCGCCUCCUGUCCCCAAAAACAGUACUUCUGUCUUGUCAGGAUUCAACCUCAAUCUGUUAGCCGCCAUCCAACCUCCAACCGCCUCCAGGCACUCACACAGGACCUUCACUGCCUUCACUGGUUCUGAUUUGAAGGAGAGGUAGAGCUGGGUAUCAUCCGCAUACUGAUGAACACCCAGCCCAAAUCCCCUGAUGAUCUCUCCCAGCGGCUUCAUGUAGAUGUUGAAAAGCAUGGGGGAGAGGACAGAACCCUGAGGCACCCCACAAGUGAGGGCCCAGGGGUCUGAACACUCAUCCCCCACCACCACUUUCUGAACACGGCCCAGGAGGAAGGAGUACUGUAAGUACUACCAGUUACCCCAGACACAACCCUUCGCAGAACUCCCAAUGUCUUUGGAAGCUCAAAGGUUUUGUGAACCCAUCCGCUAGGAUCUUCUGGCUUGGACAGUACUUCAGCUUUCCCUUCUCUUUCAGCAGGCGCAGACUUCAACUGCCCCAGAGGCUGGGUCAAGCGAGAUAAACAAUGCUUUGGGUUCUUCAAUGUUGCUUUGAAAUGGCAUGAUGCAGAGGUAUGACGCUGAGGGUGGCUUAAACCAGGGACGUAUUUUAUUAAAAACUUAAGCACAGUAAAAGAGCCGGCAGGAUCAGGCCAACACAUCUAGUGCAGUCUCCUGUUCCCAAAGCGGCCAACCACAGGCUUACAGGAAGCCUGCAAGAUGGAUCUGGGUGCAAGAGCACUUUCUCUUCCUGCAUUUUCCAGCAACUGGUAUUCAGAAGCUUACCGUAUUUUUUGCUCUAUAAGACACACUUUUCCCCUCCUAAAAAGUAAAGGGAAAUGUGUGUGCGUCUUAUGGAGCGAAGGCAGGCUGCCUUGACUUGCGUCCUUAUCAGGGAUGGGGCUCACUGCUUGUUUGUGCUCGUGGUUCUCAUGAGUGGGAUGCAGAUGGCGCUGUGGUCUAAACCCCUGAGCCUCUUGGUCAUCCCACUUGGAAGGUCGGCGGUUCGAAUCCCCGCGACGGGGUGAGCUCCCGUUGCUCUGUCCCAGCUCCUGCCAGCCUAGCAGUUCAAAAGCUCAGCAGUUCAAAUAGAUAAAUAGGCAGUGCUUUUUUCUGGGGGUACGCAGGGGUACGCAUACCCCUAAACAUUUUGUGAAUCUAAGUCUGUCUUCACUGAGGGGCAGUAUUUCAAUAUGAGUCAGAAAAUGAGAGUACCCCUAAACAUUUUUUUAAAGAAAAAAAGCACUGUAAAUGGGUACCGCUGUGGUGGGAAGGUAAACAGCAUUUCCAUGCGCUGUGGCACUUAUUACGGUCCUCUGUGCAUCAGAAGCGGUUUAGUCCUGCUGGCCACAUGACCCGGAAAGCUGUCUGUGGACAAACACCAGCUCCCUUGGCCUGAAGGCGAGGAGCAUCUCAACCCCAUAGUUGCCUUUGACUGGACCGAACUGUCCAGGGGUCCCUUACCUUUUACCUUCUCAUGACACCAACUCAGUUCAUGCUGGUACUUAGUGCAUUCUAGAGCAUGGUGCUGAUAAUGCCAAGGUCGCAGGUUUGAUCCCCGUAUGUUGCACAUUCCUGCAUUGCAGAGGGUUGGACUAGAUGAUCCUUGGUGUCUCUUCCAACUCUACAAUUCUAGGUUCCUGUGAUUUUUGCAGUACAUGCUCAGGUCGUGGUGGAUACAUGGACUGCAAAUGUCUCCUCUUACUGCUCAGAAGUUGCUGUCCAGGCACAGUGACAGAAUGAAGGAGAAGCCUACUGAGAUGUUCAACCCAAUGCCAAUGGCGUCCCCCAUUCUCUGGGGUGCUCUUUUUUGGUCUCCCUCAGAUUGCCUGCCAGGCCUUUGGCGAGAACGGCCAUCUUGCCUCCAUUCACGAUGAAGACGACAUGAAGAUCCUGUCGCAACAUCUGAGCCAGACCUAUAACGGGGGUCAACAUAUAUGGAUCGGGUUGUACGACCCCAACACUGGGAGUGAAACCGUGAGUCUGGCCAGGCGGUCCUCCUCUUUCUAAUCAUUAUUCAGGGACUGUUCAAAAUGGCAGCCGCAAGGGGCAGGGAAACCAGCCCUGAGGUGGUUCCUACAUAGAGGGAAAGAGCAUAAAGGGGAACACAGGUGUCAGGUGAGCGUUUAGGAAAAUGGUUAGCCAUCCACCUUUCUGGGAAAUACCUGAGAUUCCAGCAUGCGAGUCAGAGCCCUGUCUUAACUUUGACUUUUGGAAGGUGGCUGGAUGGAGAAGAUGACGACUGGUCUCCCACACCUUUAUCAUCUAUGAAGAAGAGGGGAUCACAGCAGGUGUGCUUUUUGUGAAAGUGGGGCUGCCGUGGGGGGGGGGGAGAACAGCUGUACCUGCCAAGAUCCCCUCUUCAGCAUGAACAUUGGAGGACCAAGUCUUGAUCCUUUCCAACAAGGUGGGGGGGGGGGAGAAAUCCUUUUUUUCCUUUUUCUUUUUUUGCAAAUGGCAUAACCAUUUUCUCAACAUUUGCAAAUUUCUGCAGUGCAUGCUUGCUCAGAGGCAAGUUCCACUAGCUUUAUGUCACUGCUGUCUUAUCCCGGUGCUUUUUUCCCUGGGGGUACACAGGGGUACACAUACCUCAUUUGGCCUCAUUGAGGGGAAGUAUUUAAUAUGAGUAGGAAAAUGAGAGUAGCUCCUAAACAUAUUUUUUUAAAAGACAAAAGGCACUGUCUUAUCCAGGGGUCAGCAAACUUUUUCAGCAGGGGGGCAGUCCACUGCCCCUCAGACCUUGGGGGGGGGCGCUGGAUUAUUCUUUGAAGAAAAAAAUUGAAUGAAUUCCUGUGCCCCACAAAUAACCCAUUGGUGCAUUUUAAAUAAAAGCACACAUUCUACUCAUGUAAAAACACGCCGAUUCCUGGACCGUCUGCGGGCCAGAUUUAGAAGGUACUUGGGCCAGAUCUGCCCCCCGGGCCUUAGUCUGCCUACCCAUGGUCUUAUCCUAUGCAAUAGCUACAGAAAUCUCUGGGCCUCAAGUUUUAGGAUAACAUUAUCAGGUUGACACAAGUUAACUGGAUGCAGCCUGCUUUCCAACUAUGCCAAAUUUUAGUAAGCAGGGAGUGGAAAAAUGAGGAGGCAACGCUUUCUCUUCUAUUUAUUAAAAUGUAUGCACCCCUAUAUUGGUUCUUUUAAAACAAAAGCAAACCGACAAACCUCAAAGCUGUUUUGUAGUGGUGGUUAGGAACAUGAUUGCAGGAAGGACUUUUAAAAAAUGAAGGACCCAAACCGAUGCGUUACAAGGAAGGAGAUUCCAACUAAACAUAUGGAAAAACUUUCGGACAGUAAGAGCUAUUCAAAGCAACAACAAACAGACCUUUGGUCACGUAAAACAUACUCAAUAAACACAUGAGACGUAACUGGGUGUGUUCUUAGAUAAAUAAGAUAUACUAUUCAUAGUAUCAAAUUGUAAAUUUCAACAGAAGUAACUCAUAAAGUUCAACAAAUGAACAAAGCAGAAGACCCAGUGGAUCAGAUCAUUCUAUACUCAGUUCAUACAUAAGGUCCAACCUUGUAAUGGUGUCCAUUCCACCUGUCUGUUCAUAAAGUCCAAACCAACCACAUGAAAGGUUGUUACAGUUCCACAAAAUCCUUUCACAAAGUCUAACAAAAGGAUUUCCAGAAUAUUGGCCUUGUUUUGCCGUCCUGGGCUUCAUCAGUAGUUAAAGCUCUAAGUAAUGCAAAUAAAUAGGGACGCGGGUGGUGCUGUGGGUUAAACCACAGAGCCUAGGACUGGAAGGUCGGCGGUUCGAAUCCCCGCGACGGGGUGAGCUCCCAUUGCUCGGUCCCUGCUCCUGCCCACCUAGCAGUUCGAAAGCACGUCAAAGUGCAAGUAGAUAAGUAGGUACUGCUCCAGCGGGAAGGUAAACGGCGUUUCUGUGUGCUACUCUGGUUUCGCCAGAAACGGCCUAGUCCUGCUGGCCACAUGACCUGGAAGCUGUAUGCCGGCUCUCUCGGCUAAUAAAGCAAGAUGAGCGCUGCAACCCCAGAGUCGGCCACGACUGGACCUAGUGGUCAGGGGUCCCUUUAGCUUUAAUGCAAAUAAAUACAAUAUCACGAUCUCACAUAUUCCACAGCAAAAAUAAUAUAAAACCAUAAAUAACUGUACAUACCAUAUGUGAUAUUACAGGACAGUGGAUCUUAUGGCAUAGUAGUAGCUGCAGUAAGCAGCAACUGUUACAAAGUAGGGUUAUAUGGACAAACACAAUACUGAUUGGGUUGCAGGUGUUGGCAAUCCACUAUUCUGCAGUGGAACAGAUUCCCACGAGAGAUGAUGGACUCUCCUUCCUUGGAGAUCUUUAAGCAAAAGUUGGGUGACCAUCUGCCAUGGAUGCUUUAGCUGAGAUUCCUGCUGAGAUUAGUGGAGAUUCUAUUAUUCUAAGUCCCAGCAUCGUGGGAACUGGGAUUCUGAGUCUCCAGAUGUUCUUCUUCUUCCCACUGAUUGGACAAGGGAAGGAUGGGCUGGAGAAGUCCCUUUCUUCCUCCGCAGAGACGAUGUCUCUUUUGCUCUCUUUCUAUAGAACAGGCAGUUCAAAUGGACAGACGCCACCACUGGAAGAUACACUCCUUGGGCACCUGAGGAACCCAAUAAUCCCAGAACCGAACACUGCGUGGAACUCUACAGCCAUGGUGAGGAGCAAGAGGAAGAAGCCAUGGGGUGCUUCAGAGAUGGAGGCUGAAGUACUGGAGGAAGAGGCAGGGAAGGGAAGGGCCAGGUGUUUCCCCACCCUCUCCUACACCACUGGCUCCCAGAACCAGGAGGCGACUGAAGUGGGAAGAGCUGAGGACGUUUUCAUUUAGGCAUAGUCUCUGGCUACAUGUGUGCAGCCUGUCAGGGGAAGGUACAUAAACUGGUGGGGCAGGAUGGCCCCCUGUUGCUGCAACUGUUCCAUCAAGACCCACUUAUGUAUAGCUGCCUAGAUGCUAGACUGGGGGGGGGGUUAUCUACAACUGUGGAAACUGUGCUGGGCCCGGGGGUUAACCCGAGCAAUGCGGUCCAGGUUCGGUCCCGAAUCCAAGGAUUCUGUGAGGUGUCAGUCCAAAAGGGCCAAGGCAAGUCUCAAGGCAGGAAACUAGGUAGGUCAGACACAGGGUCUCAGGCAGGUUCCAGCAAGCAGCAAUGUUGCUCCUGCAACCUGGGGCGGGGUCCCGUAGCCUUUUAUCUCUGUCGGGAUAACGGCUGUCCUGAUCCCCCGGUGACUCACCUCCCUGUCUCGCUCGAAGGCGAGCACUCCUCCUGCGAGUACUCAGGUCUCUCCUUCUUUCAGACCUUAGUCUCUGCAGCUGGGGAGAUGUUGGUGGGUUACUAGACCCAGAGGCCUUAGGCUCUCCUGACCCAACUGGUAGUGGAGCAGCUGUAGGUGAUGGCCCAGCUAGAGGCAACAAGGUCAUCCCUGCAUCUGGAGCCAGGGCAGGCUCAGGCCCCUGACUCGGUCCAGCUGGUGCUUGUUGCAGGGGAACCUGUGCAGACUGGGGCUCUUCAGAAUCAGGCCCCAGACUUGGUUCAGAUGAUGCCUGAGGCAGAGGAUCCGGUGCGGAUUGAGACUCCUCUGGUUCUGAAUCCGAGCCCGAGUCCCAGGCCAUCACAGAAACUACUGUGUCAGCUUUGACAAUAGAGAGUUAACUAUCUGCCCUGGAGUCCCUUUGGGUGGGAAGCACCCUUGGCGUCACAGCUGAAGAACGGUGCAUGGUUUCAGAGAACUGGGUUGCUGCUAGUAGGCCCCUGUAACUCCCUGCCAGAUGUUUCCAAGACCUCCUGCCGCCCCAACAAAGUUGGACACUGAAGUGGCUGGCUGUGAGUGUUAGUAAUAUCCUCCCACAUUGUCUUCCAGACUACAUGAAGUGGAAUGACGAAAAAUGCACCGAAAAACACCCCUACCUGUGCAAAUACACUCUCUGAGGCCGAGAAAAGACUCUGAUGUGCUCAGUAGCACCUGGGAGGCUGACCAAGAUGCAUCUUCCAAGUCUUUCCAUCUAUUGUGCUCUGAAGCCCAAGCCCAUGCUUCCCCAACCUGGUGCCCACCAGAGGUUUGGGAUUAAAACUCCCAUCGCUCAGUGGGACAGAAUUUCUCUCCUGUGGCCAAUAAAUUCUCUUCCAAAUACACCUGUG